UACGGAGGGUGCGAGCGUUAAUCGGAAUUACUGUGCGUAAAGGGUGCGUAGGUGGUUUUUUAAGUUAGUUUUGAAAUUCCUGGGCUUAACCUGGGCUGGAGGACUAAUACUGAGAGACUAGAGUAUAGGAGAGGGUAGUGGAAUUUCCGGUGUAGCGGUGAAAUGCGUAGAGAUCGGAAGGAACACCAGUGGCGAAGGCGGCUACCUGGCCAGAUACUGACACUGAGGCACGAAAGCGUGGGGAGCAAACAGG
rnacentral:rRNA from 1 species